rnacentral:rRNA from 1 species
AUUGAACGCUGGCGGCAUGCUUUACACAUGCAAGUCGAACGGUAACAGGCCGCAAGGUGCUGGCGAGUGGCGAACGGGUGAGUAAUGCAUCGGAACGUGCCCAGUCGUGGGGGAUAACUAUCCGAAAGGAUAGCUAAUACCGCAUACGAUCUGCGGAUGAAAGCGGGGGACCUUCGGGCCUCGCGCGAUUGGAGCGGCCGAUGUCAGAUUAGGUAGUUGGUGGGGUAAAGGCUCACCAAGCCAACGAUCUGUAGCUGGUCUGAGAGGACGACCAGCCACACGGGGACUGAGACACGGCCCAGACUCCUACGGGAGGCAGCAGUGGGGAAUUUUGGACAAUGGGCGCAAGCCUGAUCCAGCAAUGCCGCGUGCAGGAAGAAGGCCUUCGGGUUGUAAACUGCUUUUGUACGGAACGAAACGGCUCUGGUUAAUACCUGGGGCUAAUGACGGUACCGUAAGAAUAAGCACCGGCUAACUACGUGCCAGCAGCCGCCGUAA